CGGGCCGGCGGGCCCUUACACAUGCAAGUCGAGCGGCAGCGGAAGUAGCUUGCUACUUUGCCGGCGAGCGGCGGACGGGUGAGUAAUGUCUGGGAAACUGCCUGAUGGAGGGGGAUAACUACUGGAAACGGUAGCUAAUACCGCAUAACGUCGCAAGACCAAAGAGGGGGACCUUCGGGCCUCUUGCCAUCAGAUGUGCCCAGAUGGGAUUAGCUAGUAGGUGGGGUAACGGCUCACCUAGGCGACGAUCCCUAGCUGGUCUGAGAGGAUGACCAGCCACACUGGAACUGAGACACGGUCCAGACUCCUACGGGAGGCAGCAGUGGGGAAUAUUGCACAAUGGGCGCAAGCCUGAUGCAGCCAUGCCGCGUGUAUGAAGAAGGCCUUCGGGUUGUAAAGUACUUUCAGCGGGGAGGAAGGUGUUGAGGUUAAUAACCUCAGCAAUUGACGUUACCCGCAGAAGAAGCACCGGCUAACUCCGUGCCAGCAGCCGCGGUAAUACGGAGGGUGCAAGCGUUAAUCGGAAUUACUGGGCGUAAAGCGCACGCAGGCGGUCUGUCAAGUCAGAUGUGAAAUCCCCGGGCUCAACCUGGGAACUGCAUUCGAAACUGGCAGGCUAGAGUCUUGUAGAGGGGGGUAGAAUUCCAGGUGUAGCGGUGAAAUGCGUAGAGAUCUGGAGGAAUACCGGUGGCGAAGGCGGCCCCCUGGACAAAGACUGACGCUCAGGUGCGAAAGCGUGGGGAGCAAACAGGAUUAGAUACCCUGGUAGUCCACGCCGUAAACGAUGUCGACUUGGAUGUUGUGCCCUUGAGGCGUGGCUUCCGGAGCUAACGCGUUAAGUCGACCGCCUGGGGAGUACGGCCGCAAGGUUAAAACUCAAAUGAAUUGACGGGGGCCCGCACAAGCGGUGGAGCAUGUGGUUUAAUUCGAUGCAACGCGAAGAACCUUACCUACUCUUGACAUCCAGAGAACUUUUCCAGAGAUGGAUUGGUGCCCUUCGGGAACUCUGAGACAGGUGCUGCAUGGGCUGUCGUCAGCUCGUGUUGUGAAAUGUGGGGUUAAGUCCCGACAACGAGCGCCACCCUUUACUCCUUUUGUGCCCAGCGGGUUCGGCCGGGAACUUCAAAGAAGACUGCCAGUGAUAACCUGGAGAACGGUGGGGGAUGACGUCAAGUCAUUCAUGUCCUUAACGAGAUUAGGGCUACACACCACGUGUGCCCUACCAUAGAUGC
rnacentral:rRNA from 1 species